rnacentral:tRNA from 1 species
AGCUCAGUGGUUAAAGCAUCUGCCUGCAAUGCAGGAGACCCAGGUUCAGUCCCUGG